CAGUCGCCACGGGAAUACGAAGGGGGCUAGCGUUGUUCGGAAUUACUGGGCGUAAAGGGCGCGUAGGCGGCCAUUCAAGUUAGAUGUGAAAGCCCUGGGCUCAACCUAGGAAUUGCAUUUGAUACUGUUUGGCUUGAGUUCGGGAGAGGUGAGUGGAAUUCCCAGUGUAGAGGUGAAAUUCGUAGAUAUUCGCAAGAACACCAGUGGCGAAGGCGGCUCACUGGCCCGGUACUGACGCUGAGGCGCGAAAGCGUGGGGAGCAAACAGGAUUAGAUACCCCUGUAGUCCCUGUCUCUUAUAC
rnacentral:rRNA from 1 species